UGUGGCUCAGAGGUAGAGUGCUUGCCUAGUAUGCACGAGGUUCUGGGUUCAAUUCUCAGCA
rnacentral:tRNA from 1 species